UGCAGUCGAACGGAAACAUGUCUAGCUUGCUAGAUGAUGUCGAGUGGCGGACGGGUGAGUAAUACUUAGGAACAUGCCUUUGGGUGGGGGAUAACUAUUGGAAACGAUAGCUAAUACCGCAUGACGUCUACGGACCAAAGGGGGCUUCGGCUCCCGCCCAGAGAGUGGCCUAAGCGAGAUUAGCUAGUUGGUGUGGUAAAGGCUCACCAAGGCGACGAUCUCUAGCUGUUCUGAGAGGAAGAUCAGCCACACUGGAACUGAGACACGGUCCAGACUCCUACGGGAGGCAGCAGUGGGGAAUAUUGCACAAUGGGGGAAACCCUGAUGCAGCCAUGCCGCGUGUGUGAAGAAGGCCUUCGGGUUGUAAAGCACUUUCAGUUGUGAGGAAAGUUUGAUGGUUAAUACCCAUUAGAUGUGACGUUAACAACAGAAGAAGGACCGGCUAACUCCGUGCCAGCAGCCGCGGUAAUACGGAGGGUCCGAGCGUUAAUCGGAAUUACUGGGCGUAAAGCGCACGCAGGCGGUUUGUUAAGCUAGAUGUGAAAGCCCCGGGCUCAACCUGGGAAUAGCAUUUAGAACUGGCAGACUAGAGUCUUGGAGAGGGGAGUGGAAUUUCUGGUGUAGCGGUGA
rnacentral:rRNA from 1 species